GAUGAACGCUGGCGGCGUGCCUAAUACAUGCAAGUCGAGCGAACAGAUGAGGAGCUUGCUCCUCUGACGUUAGCGGCGGACGGGUGAGUAACACGUGGAUAACCUACCUAUAAGACUGGGAUAACUUCGGGAAACCGGAGCUAAUACCGGAUAAUAUAUUGAACCGCAUGGUUCAAUAGUGAAAGACGGUUUUGCUGUCACUUAUAGAUGGAUCCGCGCCGCAUUAGCUAGUUGGUAGGGUAACGGCUUACCAAGGCAACGAUGCGUAGCCGACCUGAGAGGGUGAUCGGCCACACUGGAACUGAGACACGGUCCAGACUCCUACGGGAGGCAGCAGUAGGGAAGCUUCCGCAAUGGGCGAAAGCCUGACGGAGCAACGCCGCGUGAGUGAUGAAGGUCUUCGGAUCGUAAAACUCUGUUAUUAGGGAAGAACAAAUGUGUAAGUAACUAUGCACGUCUUGACGGUACCUAAUCAGAAAGCCACGGCUAACUACGUG
rnacentral:rRNA from 1 species